rnacentral:rRNA from 1 species
CUGGCUCAGGACGAACGCUGGCGGCGUGCUUAACACAUGCAAGUCGAACGGAAAGGCCCUUCGGGGUACUCGAGUGGCGAACGGGUGAGUAACACGUGGGUGAUCUGCCCUGCACUUUGGGAUAAGCCUGGGAAACUGGGUCUAAUACCGAAUAUGACCAUGCUCUUCAUGGAGUGUGGUGGAAAGCUUUUGCGGUGUGGGAUGGGCCCGCGGCCUAUCAGCUUGUUGGUGGGGUAAUGGCCUACCAAGGCGACGACGGGUAGCCGGCCUGAGAGGGUGACCGGCCACACUGGGACUGAGAUACGGCCCAGACUCCUACGGGAGGCAGCAGUGGGGAAUAUUGCACAAUGGGCGCAAGCCUGAUGCAGCGACGCCGCGUGAGGGAUGACGGCCUUCGGGUUGUAAACCUCUUUCAAUAGGGACGAAGCGCAAGUGACGGUACCUAUAGAAGAAGGACCGGCCAACUACGUGCCAGCAGCCGCGGUAAUACGUAGGGUCCGAGCGUUGUCCGGAAUUACUGGGCGUAAAGAGCUCGUAGGUGGUUUGUCACGUUGUUCGUGAAAACUCACAGCUUAACUGUGGGCGUGCGGGCGAUACGGGCAGACUAGAGUACUGCAGGGGAGACUGGAAUUCCUGGUGUAGCGGUGGAAUGCGCAGAUAUCAGGAGGAACACCGGUGGCGAAGGCGGGUCUCUGGGCAGUAACUGACGCUGAGGAGCGAAAGCGUGGGGAGCGAACAGGAUUAGAUACCCUGGUAGUCCACGCCGUAAACGGUGGGUACUAGGUGUGGGUUUCCUUCCUUGGGAUCCGUGCCGUAGCUAACGCAUUAAGUACCCCGCCUGGGGAGUACGGCCGCAAGGCUAAAACUCAAAGAAAUUGACGGGGGCCCGCACAAGCGGCGGAGCAUGUGGAUUAAUUCGAUGCAA